rnacentral:rRNA from 1 species
ACGCACGCUGGCGGCAUGCCUCACCCCUGCCCGUCGGACGAGACCUUCGGGUCUAGUGGCGCACGGGUGCGUAACGCGUGGGAACCUGCCCUUAGGUUCGGAAUAACUCCCCGAAAGGGGUGCUAAUACCGGAUAAUGUCUUCGGACCAAAGAUUUAUCGCCUUUGGAUGGGCCCGCGUUGGCUUAGCUAGUUGGUAGGGUAAAAGCCUACCAAGGCGACGAUCCAUAGCUGGUCUGAGAGGAUGAUCAGCCACACUGGGACUGAGACACGGCCCAGACUCCUACGGGAGGCAGCAGUGGGGAAUAUUGGACAAUGGGCGAAAGCCUGAUCCAGCAAUGCCGCGUGAGUGAUGAAGGCCUUAGGGUUGUAAAGCUCUUUUACCCGGGAUGAUAAUGACAGUACCGGGAGAAUAAGCUCCGGCUAACUCCGUG